GUAGACGCUAUACUCUAAGAUUAACCCAUGCAUGUUUAUUGAAUAUAAAGAAAAGACGAACAGCUGAGUAACUCUUAUUUGAUUUGAUGUAUUAGGAUUCUAACUAUGUUAAAUUAUAGGUAACAAUAAUACAGUAAGAAUAAGAUCUAUCAGUUAGUUGUUAAGGUAAUGGCUUAACAAGACUAUGACGGAUAACGGUAUUACUUUGUAAUAUUCCGGAGAAGGAGCCUGAGAGAUUGCUACUAAGUCUAAGGAUUGCAGCAGGGGCGAAACUUGACCUAUGAUAUUAUAUUGAGGCAGUUAUGAGUAGUAUUUUAUAAUUAUUGUAGUAUUGUAAGUACAUAUUACAAGAUAAAUCGGAGGGCAAAUCGAGUGCCAGCAGCCGCGGUAAUACUUGUUCCGAUAGUGUGUAUGAUGAUUGAUGCAGUUAAAAAGUCUGUAGUUUAUUUAUAAUAAGCAUUGUAAGGUAUACUGUAUGGUUAGGAGAGAGAUGAAAUGUGAUAACCCUAACUGGAUGAACAGAAGCGAAAGCUGUAUACUUAAAUGUAUUAUUAGAACAAGGACGUAAGCUAGAGGAUCGAAGAUGAUUAGAUACCAUUGUAGUUCUAGCAGUAAACUAUGUUAAAUCAUAGAUAUAUUUUGAUAUAUAUUUAUGUAGAGAAAUUAAGAUUAUAUUGACUCUGGGGAUAGUAUGAUCGCAAGAUUGAAAAUUAAAGAAAUUGACGGAAGAAUACCACAAGGAGUGGAUUGUGCGGCUUAAUUUGACUCAACGCGGGGUAAUUUACCAGGUAUAACAUGGUAUAAUAUUUUAUCAUGAUAGUGGUGCAUGGCCGUUUCCAAUGGAUGCUGUGAAGUAAUGAUUAAUUUCAACAAGAUGUGAGACCCUCAUUUAGACAGAUGUAGUGAUACAUAUGAAGGAGAGGAUUAAAACAGGUCCGUUAUGCCCUAAGAUAAUCUGGGUUGCACGCGCAAUACAAUAAUAUUUGAUAUUAUAAGGGAUAAUAUAAUGUAAGAUAUAUUUGAACAUGGAAUUGCUAGUAAAUUUUAUUUAAUAAGUAGAAUUGAAUGAGUCCCUGUUCUUUGUACACACCGCCCGUCGCUAUCUAAGAUGGUAUUAUCUAUGAACAAAUUUAUAAAGUGAAUAGAUAGUACUAGAUCUGAUAU
rnacentral:rRNA from 1 species